UGUUGUGCAAGACAUCUAGACUAGUUUGGCAUUGACCCAAAUAAUGUCUCUCUCUCAUCAACUACCCAGAAAAAUUAUUUUUUAAAAAACAAAACUUCUGCCAAACUUUCCCAAAAUCAUAUAUAAAUACAAACAUCGCCGGCGCAUCAUCGGAGAAAUUGCAUCUGAACAUCCUUUCUACGACGAAUCGAUGUCUACUACUCGUCAAAUCACCGUCACUCUCGCGUUCCCCCUCUUAGUCUCCCUCCUCACAACGCUACCGCCGUUAAUCACCGCUGCCGCCGUCAACGGUAACUCUUCCCUCACCGCUUACGACCUACUCGAGUCUUACGGCUUCCCCGUCGGAAUUCUCCCGAAAGGCAUCACCGGCUACGAUCUCGAUAAAACCACCGGAAGAUUUAACGCAUACCUUAACGGCUCCUGCAGUUUCUCUCUAGAAGGUUCUUAUCAACUGAGGUAUAAAUCAAGGAUCAGUGGGUACAUAGCUAAAAAUAAGCUCACGAGCUUAUCUGGUGUUAGUGUAAAAAUAUUAUUUUUGUGGCUUAACAUUGUGGAAGUCGUUAAAAAUGGUGAUAAUCUUGAGUUUUCUGUUGGGAUUGCUUCUGCAAGCUUUUCACUUGACAAUUUCUUGGUUUGUCCACAAUGUGGAUGUGGACUGGACUGCAAUAGUAAUGUGAAAAUUCAAAAGAUUCGAAGCAAUCAUCUUGUCUCUUCGGUUUAGCUGCAUAUCAAAGGAUUAUUGAGUUUGCUGAAAGAGACUUGCAACUCAUUACAAAGAUCAUGUAAACAUUGUGCAGUGGACAGAAAGCCUGAAGUGGUCAUUGUCCUGCUUCCUCCUCAUCUGAGUUACAACGCAAAACUGAAAGUCGAAAAUUCCAGUGUUCAUUUACAUUGUUUUUAUGUUUUUUUAAAAAUGAAAGUAUUUACUACUGCAUCUUUACUCUGACAUGAAUAGACAAUCUUCUUGAAAUUGCUGUUUACAAUGCGAUCUUUUCCACGUUUUAGGACUGCGAAA